rnacentral:rRNA from 1 species
AACGAACGCUGGCGGCAGGCCUAACACAUGCAAGUCGAACGCCCUAGCAAUAGGGAGUGGCAGACGGGUGAGUAACACGUGGGAACGUGCCCUUCGGUUCGGAAUAACUCAGGGAAACUUGAGCUAAUACCGGAUACGUGCGAGAGCAGAAAGAUUUAUCGCCGGAGGAUCGGCCCGCGUCCGAUUAGCUAGUUGGUGAGGUAAUGGCUCACCAAGGCGACGAUCGGUAGCUGGUCUGAGAGGAUGACCAGCCACACUGGGACUGAGACACGGCCCAGACUCCUACGGGAGGCAGCAGUGGGGAAGAUUGGACAAUGGGCGCAAGCCUGAUCCAGCCAUGCCGCGUGAGUGAUGAAGGCCCUAGGGUUGUAAAGCUCUUUCGCCAGGGACGAUAAUGACGGUACCUGGAUAAGAAGCCCCGGCUAACUUCGUGCCAGCAGCCGCCGUAA